UGUGAAAUUCAAUUUAAUUUGAAUUUAAUUGAUUAUUAAUUUUUUAAUAUUUAAAGUAUUAAUUUAUUUAUUAUUAUUAAAAGAAAAAUAUUUUUUAAUUAUAGGUUAUUAGUAUAGUGUUAGAAUUUAUUUUAAUGUUUUAAAGAAGAAUUAAUUUUUUGUACCUUGUGUAUCAGGGUUUAUUAACUAUUAAUGAUUUAUUUUCAUUUUCUCGAAAUAAGGAAGAGCUACUUAUAUAUUUAUAUUAACGUUGAAUAGUUAUUUUUAAUAUAUAGUUUGUAAUGAAAUGUUAUUCGUUUCUUUUUAUAUCUAGUUUCUUAAGAAAUGCAUUUAAUGCAGAUUUAUUUUCUAUUAAUCUUAUUUAUAAGGUUUUUUGGGUAAUUAAAUUUAAUAGUUUUGGGGAUGAGCUUGAAACUAAAUUUGUAUAAAUUAAUUAUUUGUUAUUAUUAAAUAGAAUUAGAAAUUUUAAUUUUUUAUAGUUUGUUAUAAUUAAGUUUUAUGUAAUUUAUAUUUUUAUAAUUUUUACGUUUUUUAUUAAGAAUUUUUAUUUAAUUUUUUUUUAUGAGUUAUAAUGAUAGAAUUAGUAUUUUUAUUUGUAUUUUAUUUUUUACUUGAAAGGUAAGCUAAAGGAAUUCGGCAAAAAUUUUUUUCACCUGUUUAUUAAAAACAUCGCUUUUUGAUUUUGAUUUAAAGUCGUACCUGCCCUAUGAAUAUUAGAUUAAAUGGCUGCGGUAUUUUGACCGUACAAAGGUAGCAUAAUCAUUAGUUUCUUAAUUAGAAACUUGUAUGAAUGGUUUAAUGAGAAAAAUUCUGUCUCUAGUUUAUUUUUAAUGAACUUUAUUUUUGAGUUAAAAAGCUCAAAUUUUUUUGUAGGACGAGAAGACCCUAUAGAGUUUAAUAGUAAAAUUAAUUUGUUUAUUUAGGAAUUCUUAAUACUUAAAUUUAUUUUACUAAUUUGUUGGGGUGACCGAAAAACUUAUUUAACUUUUUUUUAUCUAUUCAUUUAUUUAUGUUUGGUUGAUCCAUUUUUUAUGAUUAAAAGAUUAAAUUACCUUAGGGAUAACAGCGUAAUUUUUUUGGAGAGUUCUAAUCAAUAAAAAAGUUUGCGACCUCGAUGUUGGAUUAAAGUUUACAGUUGGUGCAGUAGCUUGAUUGUUAGGUCUGUUCGACCUUUAAAACUUUACAUGAUCUGAGUUUAAACCGGUGUGAGCCAGGUUGGUUUCUAUCCUUAAAUAGUUAUAAUAUUUUAGUACGAAAGGACCAAGUAUUAGUAAAAUUUAUUUUUUUUUGAAUACCAUUAAAGUUACUUUGGCAGAUUAGUGCAUUAAAUUUAGAAUUUAAAUAUGUAUAUUAUACAGGUAAU
rnacentral:rRNA from 1 species